UCUCAACAACUACUUCCCUCAAAGUAGUCUUCAGUAGGAUCACAAGUGUGUAAAGAAUUGAAUUGGUUGCUCGGGUUUAAUUCUUCUCCAUGUACUCGAGGGAAGUACUCACACUUUUGGCCAUCAGGGCCACAGGCAAUGUAACGGCAUAACUCGCCCCUUUCAUCUCGGAAGUAUUUUUGAGUAUGAAGUAGUUCAUUGGUCCUUAUCUACUGGAUCUCGUAGCCUCCAGUUUUGAAGUAGUGUCUCCUACUACCUCAUUCAUUUUGAGUAGUACGUCCCUUUCCCCUUGUAGGGUCUUAGGGCCUGACAUCAUGUGAACGUUGAGAAGGACUGGGUGGAGGAGUCCUAUUGGUUCUCUCGUUGUUGUGAGGCUGUUCAACAUCAUGUAGAGGGCCCAUUGGUUGGUGACCUCGAGCUUCAGUCCUCUCGAGCUCUUGCUCAAAGGUACUUUCCCUUUGGGAGAUCUCCAUCCUGGUGUUUGCUUAGUGCCUGCUCGAUUACCAGGUGUAGCAGUGGUGUUUCGAGCAUUAAGGGUUUAGACUUGGGCACUAGUUUCCACAUGACCAAUUGGUUGACAAGGAGUCUCUCUCACCAACUCGAAUAAACCUCCAUGGGAAGUAGUUUUGCGAUUAAAGCGAUAAGCUUCUCUAAUCUGUUGAGAUAAGUUAACUCUCUAAUAUUCCAAUAUUCCUGCUCAACACGUUGGCUUUCAAUGUUCCUCCAAUUUUCCAUGAACCAGUGUUGAAACUGUUAAUGUUACUUAUCAAGAGAGUCUUGCAUCUAUUGUUGCAAGUCAGCCACAGUUUGGCUGAGCUGAGCAACCCGAGGAUCAACCUCCUUAGGGUCUUUGAUCUCCACUUGAGGCUCCUCAGGAUCUUUGUGAAUUAGAAUAGUUAUGAAGGUUCUGACCUUAUAAGAUUGUUCUCAGGUAGUCAUGGGACUAGCUCCGAUAUUGUCUUGUUAAAUCUGAGGUGAUUUUGGGUUAGAAAUUGAGUUUAGAACUUUUUAAAGCUUAGUCUAAACGUUAAUGACAUUUUUCAUUUAAGGGCUCGAUUUUAAUUUCUAUUACGUAGGGAUGGUAAUAUUUAUGGUAUAUAUGCGUCCUGUGAAGUUUGGAGUGAUUUGAAUAAGUUUUGGUAGUGUUUCGGUGAGUGCGAAAUUUGAGAUUUUUGUGUUUCAUAGUUUUUAGAAAUUUCUAGGAGAUCAGAAAUCGUAUUUUUGUCAUAACUUUUGACUCGGGUGUCUGUUUUGGACAUUCUAUAUACCGUUUUGAAGCUUGCGAUGAGUUUUUUCUAUUCUUCGCGACUUUUCAGACCGCUGCAAUACCUCCAGAAGGGGGUAAAGAAAUGGAUCAAAAAAAAGGGAAGGGGACUUCUGCAAUGAGCUAUGCCACCCAACCCAACUGAGGAAAGUGGCAUCCAUCCUAACAAUAUGAUGGUCGAGAUCAUCAGGGAUAGUUCUCCAAUUGGGUUGGCCAAAAUGUAUGAAUCUGGAUUAAAGGUGAUGCAAUUUUCCCCGGUGACGUACUAGGCAUAAGUACGGGCGUCAGUAAUAUAUGAUGAGUAUCGAGCGUAGGUAUGGACGCACCUGAUUAGGUGAUGCGAUUUUCCUGGCGACGUACUAAGUGUAAGCACGGACGUUAGUGAUAUAUGAUGAAUACUGGGUGUAGGUACGAGCUCACCUAAUUAGGUGAUGCAAUUUUUUUUUGCAACGUACUGGGCGUAAGUACGGGCGUCAGUGACAUAUGAUAAGUCCCGAGCAUAGGUACGGGCUAGUUUGAUUAGACGAUGCAAUAUAUUGGUGCCAGAUUGUGGCACGGUCUCACCUGAUUAGGGGAUGCAAUUAUAUGAUAUAUGGGUGCAGGUUUUUGGUACAAGCUCACCUGAUUAGGUGAUGCAGUUAUGUGAUACAUAGGUGCCAGGCUAUGGCGCAGGCUUGAUUGAUUAGGCAAUACAAUACAAGAUUAUCAGAUUAAAGCAUCAACUUGCCUGAUUAGGCAACGUGAUGUUGUGAAGAUGGUU